rnacentral:misc_RNA from 1 species
GGAUGGAUCAUUCUUGGUUUUUAACUACCAACCUAACGAACUCACUGUUCUAACUUUGUUACAACAGUUAACGAUCAAAUCCAAACUAAAAACUCUUAGCGAUGGAUGACUCGACUCUCGUAACGAGGAAGGACGCAGCAAACCGCGAUAAGCAGUAUGACUUGCGAACUCUCGUGAAUCACCAGAUUUCUGAACGCAAUUGUACUCUUGGCUCUGGCCUCGAGUACGCUUGGUUCGGUAUCAUUUAGACUUCCAAAGGAAUCAAGCACUGGGCACUUGCCUUUGUGAGAUGCUUCCUCUGGGCCUGGAGUCCUCACUCUCUCUCUUCAUGGGAGUGUGGACUGUCGAGAUGAAUCUUUCAGAUUGAGUUAGGUUGCCAUUUAGUAGAACUUCGAACAAGGCGACCUCUCUUUCCCAUGAAAGAUGCUGUUUUUCCUUUUUGAUCCGAACUCAAGCGAGGCUACCCGCUGAAUUUAAGCAUAUUAUUAAGCGGAGGAAAAGAAACCAACAGGGAUUCCCCCAGUAGCGGCGAGCGAAGUGGGAUCAGCCCGAGAUGUUAAUCCUCAUUUCGGUGAGGAGUUGUACAUCUAACCAUGACCAGGAAGAUCGCUGUACUAAGUCGCCUGGAAAGGCGCGCCACAGAGGGUGACAGUCCCGUCUUUGUGCAGAGAUGCUUCCGUUCGGUCACGGUUGCUUGAGUCACGCUCUUUGGGAGUAGAGCGCAAAUUGGGUGGUAACCUCCAUCCAUGGCUAAAUAUUAACGAGAGAUCGAUAGCAAACAAGUACCGUGAGGGAAAGUUGAAAAGUACUUCGAAAGGAGAGUUAAAAUACCUGAAAUCGCUAAGGGGGAAGCGACUGUCCGUGACCCAUGUCCUGAGGCUGAGUAAGUCUCUGGAUUACUUGACAUCACUUCAACGGUCCUUGAUUUCGCCUUGCUUUGCUUUUGUAAAGCUCGGUGUCUUUCCUGGACGUCUGGAGUGACGCCUUCUGGCUUGCCAUAGGUUGUCAAGAGAGGCACGUACAGGCGACCCGUCUUGAAACACGGACCAAGGAGUUCAACAAUUGUGCAAGUGUAAGAGUGUGAAACUCCUACGCGCAGUGAAAGCAAUAGCUGUGAGUACAAACGAAACAGCGGCCGACCACGAAGUUCGAGCUUGAGCAUAAUUGUUUAGACCCGAAAGAUGGUGACCUAUACCUGAGUUGGGUGAAGCCAGGGGAAACUCUGGUGGAAGCUCGUAGCGAUACUGACGUGCAAAUCGUUCGUCAAACUUGGGCAUAGGGGCGAAAGACUAAUCGAACCAUCUAGUAGCUGGUUCCCUC